UACAGAGGUCUCAAGCGUUGUUCGGAUUCAUUGGGCGUAAAGGGUGCGUAGGUGGCGCUGUAAGUCAGGUGUGAAAUUUCGGAGCUCAACUUCGAAACUGCAUUUGAUACUGCGGUGCUUGAGGACUGGAGAUGGAGACUGGAAUUUACGGUGUAGCAGUGAAAUGCGUAGAGAUCGUGAAGGAAGACCAGUGGCGAAGGCGGGUCUCUGGACAGUUCCAUGACGCUGAGGCACGAAGGCCAGGGGAGCAAACGGG
rnacentral:rRNA from 1 species